UAAGGAAUCUUCCACAAUGGGCGAAAGCCUGAUGGAGCAACGCCGCGUGCAGGAUGAAGGCCCUCGGGUCGUAAACUGCUUUUAUGAGUGAAGAAUAUGACGGUAACUCAUGAAUAAGCACCGGCUAACUACGUGCCAGCAGCCGCGGUCAUACGUAGGGUGCAAGCAUUAUCCGGAGUGACUGGGCGUAAAGAGUUGCGUAGGCGGUUAGUAAAGCGAAUAGUGAAACCUGGUGGCUCAACCAUACAGACUAUUAUUCGAACUCACUAACUCGAGAGUGGUAGAGGUAACUGGAAUUUCUUGUGUAGGAGUGAAAUCCGUAGAUAUAAGAAGGAACACCAAUGGCGUAGGCAGGUUACUGGACCAUUUCUGGCGCUAAGGCACGAAAGCGUGGGGAGCGAACC
rnacentral:rRNA from 1 species